rnacentral:lncRNA from 1 species
GCCUGCUUCAAUAUUAAAUCAAUUCUUAUCAUGGAAAAACUCUCAAAGCUGCUCUCUCUCUCUCGUGCCACAGGGUAGUGCCGCUGGCUCGUGUUGUCGCUAAUCCUUUGACACGUAAUCCCGCACGCACUCCCGGCAUCACCUAAAGACUUACCCCCUUCUGCCUGUCUGUCUGUCUGGGGGCACCGGGACAGUUGCGCUCCAUUUGUCAAAUUCAUAAUGGACGCAAAGAGUCAGAGAGAGAGAGAGAGAGAGCGGAGCGUGUCAUCGCGGAUUACAAAACGAAAUGCAGGCGCGAGGAUGGAGUCACGUGUCGGGGCAGACAGAAAGAUCGCUAUCACUUGGAACAUGGAUCUUUAUGUUCGGCUAAGAGGAGGCAUUAGCCAGGGGGCGCACCUUCCAAAGUCAAAUGACACGUAAACCAAGUCGUUAAGGGUCUGCCCUGUUCCGGCCGCUUAUGAAGCAUCAUUCGAGAAUAUAUUAAAUCCUGGGAUGGUAAUUUAUGCCUCGAGCCUACCAUGGACCCCGAGGAGGGACUGGGAGAGUGGAUCUAGCAGUGGAGCGAUGACUGGGCGACUGUCAGUUCUCAUUAGAGGGAAGCCGAGCCGAAUUGAUUGAUUUAUUUUGGCAAUUAUGUGCAUUCGAUUAAAAGCUCAACUCGAGUCACAGUCACGCGGCGCUCGCUAAUAAUAUGCACAGACCCCACACAGACCUCAGCCUGGUCUGGUCUAUGAGAGCGUAAAAAAAAACAACAUAAAUCCCCAGAAAUAUCCCAUGGAGCCACCCGGGCGGAGGAGGGGAAGUGGAUUACAUGGCCAUGAAUUGAAAACCAAUUGCGUCUGGAAUGAAAAAUCGCACCAACAAACACAGCAUGAGCUGGAGACGUAGCACAGGAUCUUGCCUGGACAGGGGACUGGGUUUCGAAGUGGG